rnacentral:lncRNA from 1 species
AUUUUCAAUUUUAUUCUUGCGUCACCAAUGAUUAUGAUAGGGUUUUUCGUAUUGUUUUGAUGAGAUUGAGAUGUUUGUUAGGAUUAUGAGGAUCUCACAAUAAUACAGGUGGUGCUAAUGUAACACAUUUUCGUAUUGUUUUGAUGAGAUUGAGAUGUUUGUUAGGAUUAUGAGGAUCUCACAAUAAUACAGGUGGUGCUAAUGUAACACUGGAAAAAUGAUUGAGUUGGUUUCCUUUAAUACAUACAGUCUCAUUUUUAUUUUCUUGUAAUUAUUCUAUUUUCCUUUUUUCUUUUUCAUUUUCUUGGAAUUAUUCUUUUUUCUUUUUUCUUUUUCAUUUACUACUUAUAAUUAGUAUUUUAGCAUAUUUUUUAAUCUGUGAAACUGAUGUUAAUUGUUUAAUUAUCAGAAUAUAGAAGAUGACAUUUUAUGUUCUAAAGGAUAUAAGUAUAUAUUUAAUUAAUUUUGAUGUUCAAUACAUAUCUUUUUAAACUAAUUAAUGUAAAG